AUCGAUAAUNCACGCUAANUCNUACUUUAAUUUCAAAAUUUAUAUACCGCCAUCUAAAGAAUUAAUUAAAAAAUAUUUCUCAAAAAAAUUUAUAAAAAGUUAGGUCAAGGUGUAAUCCACAUUAAAGAAUUAGAUGAAUUACAUUAAAUAUAAUUUAAAGAUUAUUAAUAAAUACAUUACUAUAAAUAAGGAUUUAAAAGUAAUAUAAUAAUAAUAAUACAAUAUGAUAUAAUAAAUAAAUGUGUACACAUCGCCC
rnacentral:rRNA from 1 species